GCCGUGAUCGUCUAGCCUGGUUUAGGAUUCAGGCCUGUGGCGCCUGGGACGCGAGUUCAAAUCUCGCUCACGGCC
rnacentral:tRNA from 1 species